GUGUUGGCUCUUCUUCCAUCGUUGAUGAGGUUAUGUGAGGCACAGAUGAAGCAAACCAUUGAUUGCUACGUGCGUGAGGCAAGGCAGGAAAGAACAUGUCAUCUCAGGGAAUGGAAGGGAAGGGAAGGGAAGAAAAGAAGAAAUCCAAGAGGAGAGGAGAAGGAGGCGGACCUAACACGGGACAUGGAGAGGACAACGACGGUGACGCUUCUCCGGUGCUCCAGCGCAGGCGGUGUCCUCCCUCUGCUUCAGUCAGACGCACACCUCCUUCCUCCGCGACCAGACGCACCUCCUGCACCACAUCGUCCGUCGAAGCAGCGGCACCGAAGGCAAGCGCGCCAAGGACGACCACGAAGAUGAAGACGGCAGCAGCACGAUGUUAGCCAUGGAGGUGGGAUUAGAGGGCCACCGAGGAGCGCGUGGCGGCCAUGUGGCGCCGGGUGGAGGAGACGAAGCGCCGGCCCAAGCACUCCUCCUUCCUCCUCAAGGUCGUCGGCGACACCUCGAGGGCAGCUCGGGUAGCGGCCACGGACGAGGGCGCGCGGGCCGCGGCUGCUUCUCGACAGCAGGGAAGAAUAGAAACCCGCUGUAGCGGCCACUGACGAGGGCGCGCGGGACAACAGGCCGCGGCUGCUUGUCGACAGCAGCGAAGAAUAGAAGCCCGCUGCACCGCCGUCCUUCUCCCGCUGCUCCAGCACGGAUCGAGCACCACCGCCCACAGAUCGAGCCUUUGACCAAGAGCUAGCAGGCGGGUUGCUAGGGUUAGGGGUACAAAUCGGGGCGGUGAGGAGCAAGGCGGCGGUGAGGAGGACACUGACGAGAGGGAGAGGGAGGCGGCGAAGAGAUUGAGCGACUGGCCAGCGAGCGAGCGGGUGGGGAGAGAGCGAGUGGCUGUGCAAGAGGGAGGGCAAUUUGGGAAAACGAAGAUAACUUGUAACGUAACGGAAAAUGUACUAAAAUCCCCCAACAACAAAUAAAUCGGAACAAAGGGAGUACAAACAAAUGACUGGGCUGGGAGAUGAGAAUCAGAUGCAACGCCCAAGCAGGCACUAAUAUCCCUUCAACAGUAGGCAGACAACCCAAACCCACAACAGAGUUCAUACGUUCAUUGUGCUUUAUA